UAUGCCAAGCCUGUGUGAGAUCACUAAGUCAUUAAGGGUGAAAAAGAUCACUAAGAUCAUCUGGUUCAUCCACCAGCCGAUCCCCACUAUGCCUACUAACCCAUAUCCCACAGUACCACACCUACCCUGUUCUUGAACACCUCUAAGGACGGUGACUACACCACCUCCCUGGACAGUCUAUACCAAUGCCUUACAUCUUUUUCUAAGAAUUAUUAUUUCCUAAUAUCCAACCUGAAAUCUCAUCUGGGGAGUAAUGCUGUGAAGGAUCUUCUGGAAGCUGCGCAUUUCCAAUUUUUCCUUUCCUAGUUCUGUGCCCUGCAUCUCUUUUGAAAGCAAAUACUGGCUCCAACUUCAUAGGCAAAUCAAAUAUGCUUUAUGAUUUGAUAACAUACCUUGGAAGCACUCUGUUACUCCCUACUAUAAUAAAAAUGAAGUGCAAAAUUCUAAGGAUAAAAAUUGAGAGAAUCUCAUUCAUUCAUUCAUACAUAGUUAAGCAUUGCUUCCAUUAACUGUUAUUUUGAUGCAGAUUUUUGCUAUGUUUUGCUCUGGUUUGCUUUUGGCAGAAUUGCAGUGUAAAAGUGUGAUGAUAGCAUGUGUCAUAUGCGUCAUAUAGCGUAUGUAUCAUAUGUAUCAUAUGUAAUGUUGGAUUGAAAUCCUAAUUCAGAUGAAAUGAUGCUGCCUGUCUCAGCUGACUGUAGCUGAGGAGCUCAGCCUGGCAUUCAGCUAGAGCUAUUGCUGUCACUGAUGCCAGAAUUUUCCAGUAGGCUGCUGGUGUGUAAGCAUGUGUCAGCAUACCUCAUAGAUGCCUGGAACACUCUUUUAUCUCAGCCUAGAGAGAUGUUGCUUCUCCAGCCAAGAAGAGGACUGGGCAGAGGCUGCUCACCUGAUACUCCCUAUUCAGCACCCAUUUCCCUGAGGCCCCAAGCUCUGAUAGGCAGCAGAUUGCCUCUCUGCUGGUGUGUUCAAAUGCCUGCAGUGCAGGAACCAGUAUUCACGUAGCUGACUUAGCUGAAGAAAAAGGAUUAUUUGAUUCACCCUACGCAGUACGACUGGUCAAAAUUAUCUGUGGCUGAACUCCUCCUCACUCAGCAUCUCCUAGGUGACAGUGAUUGCAUGUACUCCAACAUAUUUUAAAAUAAAAUAUCCCAUGGUUACAAUUACCAGUUGAAUUAUGAGGAAAAUAGUGGUGUUCAGUAUCUCACAUAAAGAACUCCAGGAGACCAUUGGGACUGUAAAUACUGCGCUUGUUAAUCCAAAUCAAAAAGACCCACAUGGGACAGAAUUUCAAGUGCUGGAUGCAAUAUUUUCAUUUAUAUGUCUAUUUGAGCAGUGCAAAACAUCACUGGAGCUGGUUUGGAGUAGGGUUACAAAAAAAGGAAAAAGACAUUCAAAAAUAUCCUAGGACAAAAAAAUACCAUUUUGAGUCUUCUGAUGGAUCUUCCCAGGACUGCUGAAAAAUCAGGAUCUUCUAGAAGUAAAUUACUCAUUACAGGAAGAACAGAAGUAUUGCCUUACUUCUAGUAGUGGGCAUAUAAAUCUAACUGAAGCAAGCACUCAUAAAGCAAAAGGCAGCUGGGAUGUGCAUAAACGUGAGCCCGUGGGUUUGGUGACACAUAGCAAAGUGGUGCUGACAGUACAGGAGUAUUGGGACAAGCAGGAAGAAUAAUGAUUUCUUGCUGCUGCUGAGACAUAGCUGGAGCAUGAACAUGGAGAAGGGAUAAGAGACGUGUUCAGACAGAAGGCCAUUUACCAGCUCUGCAAACUGUACUCUGCUAACUAACUGCCACGUAAACAAAGCAGAGGCUUGCAUAUGGUAGAUGAGAUGUUUGCAGUGCAACUGGGAGCUGUGCUCGGCUCCUGCCCAGGCACCACCUAUUGGUCAUGUAUCUGUGGAUGCUUAUUGCACUUCCCUAAAAUCAUGUUCUACAUCACUAGAACAUGCACCAUUUCUAUUUUGUGGUUUCCAAUCAGGAUAAAGAGGAAUGACAAAAACAAUUGCAAAAACAAUUGGUUCAUUUUUAAAAAUGUUGAAGAUUUGAAAGAGUUGUUAUUAAUUAGAUGCUCUGGCAAAGUAGGGCCGUGCAUUACCUGUUGCAAGCUCAUUUUCAACAUAAAAGCACUAAUGGCAUGAAGUACAGCCACUGACUCUUGUUAAGAAAAAAUUAGAUGGUGACAUCCAGCCUGGCAGAACUCUGAUGCUAACUGUCCUAUGACUGAGGCAUGCAGGCUGGGAGUAGCUCAGCUGAACUCCAGAGGAGUAGAGUACUACACUACUCAGCACUUGUGAUGCAACACACCUGUGUUCAUCCCUCAGUGCAAGAAAGACACUGAGGCCCUGGAGUGUGUCCAGAGAUGGACAAUGAAGCUGAUGAGGGGUCUGAAGCACA